AAACUAACAAGGAUUCCCCUAGUAGCGGCGAGCGAAGCGGGAAGAGCUCAAAUUUAUAAUCUGGCACCUUCGGUGUCCGAGUUGUAAUCUCUAGAAGUGUUUUCCGCGUUGGCCCGCACACAAGUCUGUUGGAAUACAGCGGCAUAGUGGUGAAACCCCCGUAUAUGGUGCGGACGCCCAG
rnacentral:rRNA from 1 species